AUGCACGACCUCACCCCGAUCCCAAGGUCGCACCGCCGUGGCCGUCACAGCUCCCUUCUCUACCAUCCUCGCGACGGUCAUACACUCCGGCAUCUACGCACGCGACUUGGAUCUUGGGCCGUCUCGGCAAAGUUGCCCGCACCCAGAACCCUAGGGCGGGCCGUCGGCCACCGCGGCAAUGUGGGCAGAGGGCGCGUGGCUGCCACGACUAACCGGGUGGGGAUAGCCAACGGGUCCGCCGGUGCACCUACCGUGGGAAGUGACGACAUCACUGUGCUUAAUGAAGAUGUUUAUGACAUAUUCGGUCUACGUAACGAGGGUGAUGAUGUGAUUAGCAUGAAAGCAACCGUAGAACUGGAUGUCAAAAAAAAUGUUCCGACUAAGUUUAUAGACAAAAGAACAUGCCUAAUCCUCAUCGGUGACUUGAUAAAAAAUAUUGUUGAUAGUCAGUCAUAUGAUGAUGAUUUUGUGAGAAGGGCCGUACUGGUUCUUAUGGGUACAGUCUUAGCACCACAAUCCACCAAAUUUGUUCCUUAUCGUUAUUACAAAAUGGUGGAGGAUGUCAGCGCUAUCAAGUCAUACAAUUGGAACAAUUUCACGUUGUGUUACAUAUACUGGGAAAAACUUGAGCCAAUUGGUCUGGAUGCAUUUGAUCCUUUGUCUCGUGAGUACCCACUAAUGCUGAACUGGCCCGAAACAGAAGGGAAAAAGAGAGACGACUAUGACAAAAUACAAGGGUGGGGUAGCGGCAAUACUGAAAACUGCAUUAGCGAAGAGUACAGAUGUGCUAAGGUUGCACGCGAAGGGACUGCCCCAGAGGAAGAACCGCCGAAAACUAAGCAGAAAGGUGGUGGCAGGAGUAGAAAGGCAAGCACGUCGGUGGUUUCAUCGAACACAAAUUAUAAUAUGGACCGUGUGAUGACAUACAUAAAACUGCUUCACAAGGAGAUGGUAAUGGAAAGGUUGAACACGGAAGGUGUGAUGUACAAACCCAAUAAGAGGGAAAACGUUGACGAAUUUGAUGAUGUAGGUGAAGGAGUUGGGAUGCGGAAUGGCAAGUACCAGUCAAAAUAUGGGGCGUCAAAAUAUUGGCCAGAUAUUGAAUCACCUACCGACAUAAAGAUAGGAACAUCUUUCACGGGUGAAGCUACUGAUCCUUUCAUUAUAGAGGAUAAUGGAAACUCUCCAUCUUCGGCAUCAAUUGUACGGACAAAAGACUUUCCGUCUAUGUCCCGAACCCUGCAGAUUGUUGAUAUUUUUGGUGAGUCUAUGGGUGGUUUGUCACUAACAAAGUCCGAAGAAUCGCUUGAGAGUUUCCUGGCAAAGAGCAAGAUAGCUAAUGGUGAUGGCAGUCAGGACAAUCAAGGUAAACACAAACGAAAUCCGUCGAAAUAUUGUCAAUCCCCCUACGACCUUCUCAUUACCUGCAAGAAACGUGUUAAAAAAAUAAUCAAUGCAUAUUGUAAGCACCUAGAACACCGCGGUUUUGCUGAUCGUCACAUAUCAACAACGUGGUUCCCUAAAUUUAUGUUGAAUAGGGCAAGGGGAAAGACCAAGUCAGUAAAUAAUAUAAACUCAGAGAAGCUUACAAGGAAAACAAAAGUCCUCACGCGAGUAAUGGAUGAGUAUUUCGCAUGGGACAAGGUAUUGCUUUCAUAUUUAUUAGUUUUUGUAAGUCAAUAUUUUGUAAUUGCACUAACAUCAUUUGGUUGUUAUGUAGGCGUAUUUUCCUAUGCACGUUAA
rnacentral:rRNA from 1 species